UCCCCUGCAAUUACGCGGAGCGCGGGGUAUUUGGACUCCUCUCCUCCUGGGGGGCCAGGGCGGAGGCAGCGCGCAGGGAUUAGAACUCACACCCCUGCACAAGCGCUGCCACAUCGAAGUGCUCUAAAAAUUUGUUGUUGCUGGUUUUGCUCUCMUUUCUCGAAGAAAAAAAAAUGUUUGAGUAAUUUCCUACAAGGUCGGAGGAGCGAGUUAUAUUUGCUGUGAUAUUUGCUUUGGUAACUAACCGCUAAACGUGUGUAGAUCAAAUAUUUGUAAUUAAACCGUAAAUUGUACACAGAAAUGAAGAACGAAGAAGCUGGCAACGUUUCGAUCGCAUUCCUGACAUCACCUUGUGUUGGCCUGGGAAUGAAUCGCAGCCCUUCCUGCCGGGUGCAAAUGCUCCUUAUAAUUUUAUUGUAUGGAAACCUAAACAUUUCCCGCGAUCACUAAUUGGGUUUGAGGUCUCU